rnacentral:misc_RNA from 1 species
AAAAAAAUCAACAUCAAUUUGCUCAAUUUGAUCGGAUCUAGGGUUUUAGUAUUGUAAAGGAGUUUGUAUGUGAUUUUGUGGUAAAUGAACAAGCAUUCGAUAUAGUUAUAGCGAUAAAGAGAGAGAAAGAGGAUGAAGGAGUUGUUUGGAGGUCCAGGUAGAGUGAGUGGGUUGGUAUUGCGAAUGGGUCAGUGUUUAUUUGCUGCUGCUUCUAUGGUUGUAAUGGCUUCUUCUCAUGGUUUCGCCACUUGUACUGCUUUUUGCUAUUUAAUUGCAUCCAUGGGGCUGCAAGUAAUAUGGAGCUUCUCACUUGCCUGCUUGGAUAUUCAUGCCUUAAGAUUGGAAAGAGAUCUAAGGAAUUACGUCUUUCUGAGCUUGCUUGUAAUCGGUGAUUGGGUGACAGCCAUUUUAUCACUUGCUGCUGCAUGCUCAUCAGCCGGCGUGGUAGUUUUGAUUAUUAAAGAUACAAAUAUGUGCAUAUCCACCCCUAAGCUGUCCUGCCAUAUGUUUCAAAUUUCAGUAGCUUUGGCUUUCCUCUCAUGGUUCUUCCUUGCCAUUUCUUCCUGUGUCAUGUUUUGGCUCGCGGCCUCUUGAUUAAAGGUCCCUUCUCUGUACGCUACCACGUAUUCAUAUGGUUAUGUGAAUAUUACUGAUUUUGAGA